CAGCAGCCACGGUAAUACCGAGGGUGCGAGCGUUAAUCGGAUUUACUGGGCGUAAAGCGUGCGUAGGCGGCUUCUUAAGUCGGAUGUGAAAUCCCUGAGCUUAACUUAGGAAUUGCAUUCGAUACUGGGAAGCUAGAGUAUGGGAGAGGAUGGUAGAAUUCCAGGUGUAGCGGUGAAAUGCGUAGAGAUCUGGAGGAAUACCGAUGGCGAAGGCAGCCAUCUGGCCUAAUACUGACGCUGAGGUACGAAAGCAUGGGGAGCAAACAGGAUUAGAUACCCGUGUAGUCCCUGUCUCUUAUAA
rnacentral:rRNA from 1 species